rnacentral:rRNA from 1 species
CUCAAAUCAGGUAGGACUACCCGCUGAACUUAAGCAUAUCAAUAAGCGGAGGAAAAGAAACUAACAAGGAUUCCCCUAGUAACUGCGAGUGAAGCGGGAAAAGCUCAAAUUUAAAAUCUGGUGGCCUUCGGUCAUCCGAGUUGUAGUCUGGAGAAG